rnacentral:rRNA from 1 species
AGCGAACGCUGGCGGCAGGCUUAACACAUGCAAGUCGAACGCCCCGCAAGGGGAGUGGCAGACGGGUGAGUAACACGUGGGAACGUACCCUUUGGUUCGGAAUAACUUGGGGAAACUCAAGCUAAUACCGGAUAAGCCCUUAUGGGGAACGGUUUACUGCCGAAGGAUCGGCCCGCGUCUGAUUAGCUAGUUGGUGAGGUAAUGGCUCACCAAGGCGACGAUCAGUAGCUGGUCUGAGAGGAUGAUCAGCCACACUGGGACUGAGGACACGGCCCAGACUCCUACGGGAGGCAGCAGUGGGGAAUAUUGGACAAUGGGGGCAACCCUGAUCCAGCCAUGCCGCGUGAGUGAUGAAGGCCUUAGGGUUGUAAAGCUCUUUUACCCGGGACGAUAAUGACUGUACCGGGAGAAUAAGCCCCGGCUAACUUCGUGCCAGCAGCCGCCGUAA